CGUGGAUUCCCUGAGUUGGGAAAGCUCAUUCCACCGGAGGCCUCAGCACAACUUCAUUCAGCCUGUUGUUCUGCAGACAUCCUGAAGAAAUUUCAGUGGCCCCAAGAGCCUCUGGCCAUGCUUCCUUGCGUGGACUACCCUCAGCAUUGUCAUGUAUUUCUGCAGAGUAUGGCUCAGCAAGGCUCAGAGGUGAAAUGUUCACGGAGCAGAAACCGGUGAGGAAAAUAUGGCCCAAACAGUUACAUAUACCUUUAUUUUCAAAGUGCUGUCCAGAAGGGUUUGCAGCGCUUUUGGCUGAUGCAUAAAUUGACCUAGACAGUAAAUGAUACAUGACCUUAAAAUAUCUGAAGUAGCCUUGCUUGAGAAUUUUUAGUAGAGAGUUAUUAAAUGUCAGGAUAAUUUACACAAGCAUAGCCUAGUUUAUGCUUUUGCAUUCUCUUUCCCUCUUUCUUUCCACCAUGCCAUCCAAGAACCAUAGAAGCUUUAAAAAUUUUACAUAUAUCUCCUUUUUUCUUCUUUUAUUGUAGAGGUUUAUCUUUUUUUUAUUUAUCGCACUCAGAAAAUCUAGUCAAAUGUGAGAGUAUAAUAUAGCUCGCAAAGACCUGAUCCAGUAGAGCACUUAAGUACCUGCAUAACUUCAUCGUGAUGACAUUUUCCAUUGCUCAUUAACUGGCAUUUAAAGGAAAUUUUCCGUUGCUUGGUGUCUGGGCAUUUAAAGGAAAUUGUCAGACAAAAUGGGCCAGCCCAUUUUGAAGAAGAAUUAGGUCAGGCAGCUGUAGGGAGCCCUGGAGGUUCAGGCCCCGUGCCGAAAGCUGGUGAUAGACGCCAGGAGGGCAUCCCAUUAGGAGUUCAUUGUAGUGAGCCUUAACUCCACAGCUCUUCAAGGGCGAACUACACUGAGGAGAUGUGUCAUGGUUGUGCAAGACUGGGGAGACCACUGU
rnacentral:lncRNA from 1 species